rnacentral:rRNA from 1 species
CCUACGGGGUGCAGCAGUAGGGAAUAUUGCUCAAUGGGGGAAACCCUGAAGCAGCAACGCCGCGUGGAGGAUGAAGGUUUUCGGAUUGUAAACUCCUUUUGUUAGAGAAGAUAAUGACGGUAUCUAACGAAUAAGCACCGGCUAACUCCGUGCCAGCAGCCGCGGUAAUACGGAGGGUGCAAGCGUUACUCGGAAUCACUGGGCGGAAAGAGCGCGUAGGCGGGAUAGCAAGUCAGAUGUGAAAUCCUAUGGCUUAACCAUAGAACUGCAUUUGAAACUGUUAUUCUAGAGUAUGGGAGAGGGAGGUGGAAUUCUUGGUGUAGGGGUAAAAUCCGUAGAGAUCAAGAGGAAUACUCAGUGCGAAGGCGACCUGCUAGAACAUAACUGACGCUGAUGCGCGAAAGCGUGGGGAGCAAACAGGAUUAGAUACCCCUGUAGUC